UUUGCUGUCUUUCUUCCCAGGUGUAGAUGACUGCCACUUGUCAAAUGGGAGACCUGGAAUAAGGAGAGUUUAGCUAAUAGCUCCACAGUAUUAUAUUUUCUGUUUCUCAUACAUGCAUCUACUUAUCCUUCUGUGCAAGCCACUGUCUAGCAGUCCUGAUGGUAUGAAGCUGAAAUCACUGUUGUGCUCU
rnacentral:lncRNA from 1 species